rnacentral:lncRNA from 1 species
CAUUUUUUCUGAUUGUAACACCUUGUUUUUUUGUGUGUGGUGGGGGAACCAUGCCCUUUCAACCAAGCUAUGUGGUGUUCAUAAGGGUAGCCCCUCCUCCGACCCCAGGAGUGGCAGUUCACAGCCCUGACUGAUCACAGUGUUCCGUGGCCUAGCUGUAACCACCCCAGGGAGUGAGACUGAACUCAGGGGUUCAUUGGACCUAUCAGGAAAGAGAGACCUUUCUUGUUUCUGGACUUGGAGCUGUGAUGAAGUAAGUGGGUCAGGGGCCAACACAUAGACAGCGUUGGCCUACAAAUGCAGCCCAGGCAGAGGACGGUGCAGCCAAGCCACACAGAGAGACAACUUCCUAGUGACACGCUGUGAACUCCUGCAUCCACCCCUGCCUGAACUGGAGCUUUUCCUCUUCAGCUCUUCAGUUAUGUGAGGCAAGAUGUUGCCUUUUUUGCUUAAUGCUGUGAGUUGAGUGUACAGCAGUUACAAUCAAAGAAUCCUAAAUAAUGCUGCAAGCAUGGUGACUAUCUACAUGGGAAUAUGCAGUACUCCAGUGAAGACAAAACAUAAAUUAAUUUUGGAAUCUGAUGACCAUAAUCUAAAAACAUUCAUAGAGGUAUAUAAAAAUUAUAACAAAAUUUAAAGUAGCAUAUCUCCUCAUGAAGCAGGUUAAGUGUAUACACAAAGAAGGAGGAGGAAAAGGUGAGAAAGAAUCUGCCCUUGUGGGGAAGUGACAGAGGCAGAAGAGGCUGAUGCAGUCCUGCAUCCAGGCCCAGCUCUGCCAGCAGCUGAGUACCCCUGAACAAGCUCCCCCACCUCUUCGGGCCUCACUUUCCCCAUCUAUGAAAGAAAGGGAGUCUAGCUUCCAUAGCUGCCCCAGCUGAUACGCAAGGUGCCAGUGUGUCCUCAGUCCUGUCAGGAGAAACCUUCCCCACUAGAAUCCCAGGAGGAGCUUGAAAUCCUGUCUGGGAUCCUGACGGCCCAGGUGCUGACCCUGCCUCGGGUUGUGUCUGCUAAGAAGUCUGAUUUCUGCUCAUCUCUCCCCAUUUCUUUCUUCCCAUAAAGUGGGCUGAUGCGCUGGAACGUCGAUGCAGCCAGUGAUGUGUUUGAUGAGAAUGUAUUGAGAGUAAAGCUGCCCAGAAUCCAAGUGUGUGUCAUCUGAACUCUUGAAUCAUGGAUGGAAGAUGGUGAACCGAAACUUACAGAGCUCAAGUCACUUGACCAGGCUCCACCCCUACAAGAGGCAGCACGCAAACUAAAAACCAGGCGGCCUUUUCCAAAGCUUGUGCUCUGCUCCACUGCUGGAAGGAACCCUUCGGGGAAUUGAAGCAGCACUGAACAAAGGCCAUUUUUAAGAAGCGACACCAGAAACCUAAGGCGGGGUCCCCGGCUCAACAAGGAUCUCAUGUUUUGUGGGUCAGAGAUUCUUGUGUCGUGUCUGGGUGAGGUCAAAAACCAUGCAGAGACUUUCACUUCCUGUUCUGUGGCAGACAAGACAUCUGAAAAGCUCUCCUGCAGCAACACUUCUAGAUGCCAAGUAAAUCACAGCAAGUGCACUUUUAAAUGUGUUACUAAGAUCAUAAAAAUGAAGGAAAAUGCCCAAGCAUAUCCCCAACCCCUCACCCCACAACCACCACCACCACAAUAAACAAGUUGCUGACAGUGGAUUGGCAA